rnacentral:lncRNA from 1 species
GUAAGGGCCUGAGCCAGGUAUCCAAAAGCAGAUGCAAUUCUCUGGCCCCUUCUCCUCAAAUACAAAGGAAUGCUCAUUUGCUUGAUCUACUGAUUGCAGUUUUGCUAUCACGGUACUUGUCUGCUGCUAGAGCUCAUCAUCACAGGACAAUAACCGUGGCUCUACAGGAAAGGCAGAAGAUGGUAGCAGAGGGGCAGUCUGACAGAAUGGCGUCUGACAUGGAAGUGCGUAUUCAGCAAAGUUACAUGUACCUGAGCGCCAAGACCAUGUGUUAGUGUGAUUCUUCCUAAAGGGAGAUGAGGAGCACUGUCAGAAAGACCACAGCACCUGCAGCAGAGUCACUGUGGAAGUGGAGCACAAAGCAGUCACUUUGGUUUCUUCAUCAGCAUUUUGAAAUGCCUGAUUGAACUGAAGAGAUAUGGGACACUGUCUUUUAUCUGCACGCUAACAGACACGUCUGUGCUGUGCAGGGGAAGCUUUGUGCUGUGAAGUGAGCCCCAGCAACAGUGCAGUAAGCAGGCUCUGAGAGUUCUUCAAUUCUAUCUCUGGCACUGAGGAGCUAAUUCUUUGCAUUUCCUCAAACAGUCUUAGUCAUUUCAGUCAGCAAAGACCCAUUGGAGGCUUACGUUCUAUUACUGCCUCCUUCCAGAUGUCAGCAGUCGAUGCAGGAGCUUGGUGGCACAGUGUUUCUCCGGUAUGACUCUGUUUAGCUGAGUGAGAGGAAACAUCAUGUGGUGCCUUUGACACUGUCAGAUCUGUUACCUUUAAAUCUUUAGUGAAUCAGCAGACUAAUGUAGUGAACUAAAGCAAUUUAUGUAGAAUGGGAGCAAUCUAAGGUACAAAAUGGCAGUUGGGAGUUUAACUUAAUGGGAAUUAAUGGUUGUUGCUGGAGAUCUUAAUUCUUAUUAGACCAAUUUCACCCUGUUUCCACUGCUGGUGCUUUUAAGCUAGGGAGAAAAAAAAAGUUUAAUGGAAAUUCUAGAUCUUACUGAUUAGUGCAGUGCUGAGAAAUAAGAAGUCUUAAACUUUUGUGCAGUGUGGAUCACUUUGUUAGAGAAACUGCCUUGCUGGCCACCAUCAUUUCUCAUUUGUAAUAAAUAGGCAACUUUUUCAGCUGUUCAUGUUUGUAAGGUCAGCUCAAUCUAUCCUUUGGGACAUCUCCAGGAAAGAACAGUAACUGCCUAUCUGAAAAAAUAGCAUCAAGAAAGUACCAGAUACUCAUGUAUGUUUUGUAUCCCUUUUAUGAAUAUGUAAUAUUAAAACCCAGGAGAAGCUAAUUCCAUGAGAGGAAUAAUUUUUUCCUUGUCCUCUAGGAAACCAUUUUGUGAAUUUUUUGUUGAACUUUGUGUGAACUUUUUGUGAAUUUUUUUGUUGAAUUUUGUCUUUUCUUAGGAAGGUAGAUGUCCACCAGGGCAGGAUGGGCAAACUUGCUCAUGUCCAUGAUGAUCUUAAGGGCAUCUGAUCUGAAGAGUACAUUCAUGCUGUAGUCCCUUCAACUGCCUCUGUCCAUCCCUGGGCAUGUGUUUGAUGUUGUUUUUGCUGUUCAACAAAGUUUGAUUCAUCUCCUUGUUGACUUCUUUAUCUUCUUCAAAUGAUGACCUACUUUUCCAUCUUUUUUUGUUUCCUCUGUCCUAUCAUAAUUUUAUCUGACUCCUUCUCUGCUUUAUAGACCUCCGUAAAUUGAAAUAGUUUAACUCUAUUAUAAAAUUAUUUCUGAGUUAGAUGUCUAAUAUUUUCCGUAUCAAGUUAUUUUUAACUUUUCUGCAAGCCUCUGAAAAUUAAUUUGAUAUUUCCCUUGUUUAAAUCAUAGUAAAAAAUAGAUACUUGUUUGAUAAAUUUGGUAAACCUUUUAAAUUUACUAUGGUAUUGUUGCUUUGUUGAUGCUUCAUUCCACCACUAAAAACAGGAAAAUGAGUGCUGCUGCUGAUUCCAAAGAGCAUGCUUUAAAGAACAUCCACUAAUUUUUCUUACAAAUAAAUAUUUGAUAUUACAAAUACUUAAUAUUUAAUAUUCCAGUAAUUUUUUCACUUUGCUUUCUAGUACUACUUACUCAGCUUUAUUAACAAGAGUAAAUUUUCCUUCUAACCAAGCUGUUCAUCACAAUACUCAUUUUAUCAACGCUACAAACUAAACCAUACUGGAAAUCCAGCCAAAACUUAACAGCUUUUUUAUUCUCAGAGCACUGUGCCAUUUUCCUGUAAGUUUUAUUAUUCUAUCCUACCAUUCAUCUCCUACUGUGAGAGAAC